rnacentral:misc_RNA from 1 species
GGAAAAAACAAGAACCAACACUAAGUAGCUCCAGGAAGUCACCUUACCAUUAAUUUAGGAUUUGCAACCCAACAAAACCCAAACAAUAUAACUUAUUUACACGUGACUUAGUGGAGGGAAGAGUGAAAAACCAUGACUAAGCCAGAAGAGAGCUCCCCCUGUAGAGACAGGGGAAGUUUUGUUGUAAACAAAGAAAAUGAGACCAAGCUCCUAGGAAAGAAAC